AGUGAACGCUGGCGGUAGGCCUAACACAUGCAAGUCGAACGGCAGCACAGUAAGAGCUUGCUCUUACGGGUGGCGAGUGGCGGAAGGGUGCGGAAUACAUCGGAAUAUACUUUUUCGUGGGGGAUAACGUCGGGAAAUUUACGCUAAUACAGCAUACGACCUACGGGUGAAAGCAGGGGAUCUUCGGACCUUGCGGGAUGGAAUGAGCCGAUGUCGGAUUAGCUCGUUGGCGGGGUAAAGGCGCACCAAGGCGACGAUCCAUAGCUGGUCCGAGAGGAUGAUCAGACACACGGGAAGUGAGAAACGGUCCCGACUCCUACGGUGGGCAGCAGCGGGGAAUAUUGGGCGAGGGAGGAGAGCCUAAUCCAGCCAUACCGCGUGGGUCAAGAAGGCCUUAGGGCUGUAAAGCCCUGUAGUUGUGAGAGAAAAACAGCAGUUUAAUACCCCGCGAUUCUGACGGUACCCAAAGAAUAAGCACCGGCUAACUUCGUG
rnacentral:rRNA from 1 species